AUACAUGCUUAAAAUAAAAUGCUCCGCAGGGCGCAGCUUGAUACGACCGCAGAGGUCGAACCCUGAACAGUUGGGGCAAGUAUGGACACAACAUUCAAGCUUGAUACAGCUCUGAAUUUGGAUUGUGAUUAAAUAUUUGACACAGCAUAGGUUUCUGACACAGAAUGAAUGUGGUCUAAGAACUUAAAAAUUUUAAAUUGGACAUUCACCUAUUAUGGUCCAAUAUCCAAAAUCUAAAUACAUGGUUAAAUUCAGCAUAUCAAAGAACCCCAAGAAUUCAAUUUUUGAUGAAAUCAAACAAAGUUUAAUUUUGGACCCUUUUUACCUCAAUGUGGACAAAGUUGAUAACGGGGCCCAAAAAUCAAAAAUCUAAGUACAUGGUAAGAUUCAGCAUAUCAAUGAACCCCAUAUAUUCAAUUUUUGUUGAAAUCAAACAAAGUUUAAUUUUGGACCCCGAUUUGGACCAACUUGAAAACUGGGCCCAUAAUCAAAAAUCUAAA